CGGACGGGUGAGUAACGCGUGGAUAACCUGCCUCACACUGGGGGAUAACAGUUAGAAAUGGCUGCUAAUACCGCAUAAGCGCACAGUACCGCAUGGUACGGUGUGAAAAACCCAGGUGGCGUGAGGUGGAUCCGCGUCUGAUUAGCCAGUUGGCGGGGUAACGGCCCACCAAAGCGACGAUCAGUAGCCGACCUGAGAGGGUGACCGGCCACAUUGGGACUGAGACACGGCCCAA
rnacentral:rRNA from 1 species